UCCUAGUGCUUAAGAGUAUCCUUACAGAUG
rnacentral:piRNA from 1 species